GCGGGGAAAAGUAGCUUGCUACUUGACCUAGCGGCGGACGGGUGAGUAAUGCUUAGGAAUCUGCCUAUUAGUGGGGGACAACAUCUCGAAAGGGAUGCUAAUACCGCAUACGUCCUACGGGAGAAAGCAGGGGACCUUCGGGCCUUGCGCUAAUAGAUGAGCCUAAGUCGGAUUAGCUAGUUGGUGGGGUAAAGGCCUACCAAGGCGACGAUCUGUAGCGGGUCUGAGAGGAUGAUCCGCCACACUGGGACUGAGACACGGCCCAGACUCCUACGGGAGGCAGCAGUGGGGAAUAUUGGACAAUGGGGGGAACCCUGAUCCAGCCAUGCCGCGUGUGUGAAGAAGGCCUUUUGGUUGUAAAGCACUUUAAGCGAGGAGGAGGCUACCGAGAUUAAUACUCUUGGAUAGUGGACGUUACUCGCAGAAUAAGCACCGGCUAACUCUGUGCCAGCAGCCGCGGUAAUACAGAGGGUGCAAGCGUUAAUCGGAUUUACUGGGCGUAAAGCGCGCGUAGGUGGCCAAUUAAGUCAAAUGUGAAAUCCCCGAGCUUAACUUGGGAAUUGCAUUCGAUACUGGUUGGCUAGAGUAUGGGAGAGGAUGGUAGAAUUCCAGGUGUAGCGGUGAAAUGCGUAGAGAUCUGGAGGAAUACCGAUGGCGAAGGCAGCCAUCUGGCCUAAUACUGACACUGAGGUGCGAAAGCAUGGGGAGCAAACAGGAUUAGAUACCCUGGUAGUCCAUGCCGUAAACGAUGUCUACUAGCCGUUGGGGCCUUUGAGGCUUUAGUGGCGCAGCUAACGCGAUAAGUAGACCGCCUGGGGAGUACGGUCGCAAGACUAAAACUCAAAUGAAUUGAC
rnacentral:rRNA from 1 species